rnacentral:tRNA from 1 species
AUUGAAAUAUUAAUUGAAAAGCUUCUAACUUUUUAAAAAGCAUUAAUUUGUUUAU